rnacentral:lncRNA from 1 species
CACAAUCCAUCAGUUGGACAUAACCAACCUCUCCUUGGGGAAAAUCUACCAGUUAGCAGUCAAUUGUCUGGAAAGACUUUGUGAACAGAAGGAAUUCUUCAAAGACUUCAUGAAAAAAAAGUAGCCUUUCAAAAGUGCUUGUAAAAAAUCCCAUCUCUCCAUUAAGUGCAAGAGCGAAAAAGAUUGCACUUGUUCAACAAAAAAGAGAUCCCAUUUCCGGAAACUCCAGAAUUCAGAAAAAAG